GAAGCGGCGGCUCAGGGCGCGGGCCCGCGUGUGCGCGCGCUCUCGGGCGAGGGGCGGCGGAACGGAAUAGAGCGGAGCGAGACGGGCACCAUGUCGGGCCGAGAAGGCGGCAAGAAGAAGCCGCUAAAGCAGCCGAAGAAGCAGUCGAAAGACCUGGACGAGACAGACUUGGCAUUUAAACAAAAGCAGAAGGAGGAGCAAAAGAAACUUGAGGAGAUGAAAGCAAAGGCUGCUGGAAAAGGGCCGCUGGCCAGCGGUGGAAUAAAGAAGUCUGGCAAAAAGUAGCUUGAUCAAACUGCAAUGUAAGAAGUGAUUGAGUUACUCAUUGGAUCUGCAGACUUCAGAGAGUCAUGAAAACUUGCCACCAUUUGGGAAACAUUGUACAUUUUGUUUAGUCAGAAUAAAUCGUUUUUGUUAAGAUGUAA